rnacentral:rRNA from 1 species
UGCUGGAGGUAUCAGAAGUGCGAAUGCUGACAUAAGUAACGAUAAAGCGGGUGAAAAGCCCGCUCGCCGGAAGACCAAGGGUUCCUGUCCAACGUUAAUCGGGGCAGGGUGAGUCGACCCCUAAGGCGAGGCUGAAAAGCGUAGUCGAUGGGAAACAGGUUAAUAUUCCUGUACUGGGUGUGACUGCGAAGGGGGGACGGAGAAAGCUAGGUUCGCCGGGCGACGGUUGUCCCGGUUCAAGCGUGAAGGUGGAAAGGGCAGGCAAAUCCGCUCUUUCAUUAACACUGAGGCGUGAUGACGAGCCACUACGGUGGUGAAGGAAUUGAUGCUACGCUUCCAGGAAAAGCCUCUAAGCUCCAGGUCACAUCGAAUCGUACCCCAAACCGACACAGGUGGUCAGGUAGAGAAUACCCAGGCGCUUGAGAGAACUCGGGUGAAGGAACUAGGCAAAAUGGUGCCGUAACUUCGGGAGAAGGCACGCUGGCGGUAGGUGGAGGGACAUGCUCCCCGAGCCGAAGCCAGUCGCAGAUACCAGCUGGCUGCAACUGUUUAUUAAAAACACAGCACUGUGCAAACACGAAAGUGGACGUAUACGGUGUGACGCCUGCCCGGUGCCGGAAGGUUAAUUGAUGGGGUUAUCCGCAAGGAGAAGCUCUUGAUCGAAGCCCCGGUAAACGGCGGCCGUAACUAUAACGGUCCUAAGGUAGCGAAAUUCCUUGUCGGGUAAGUUCCGACCUGCACGAAUGGCGUAAUGAUGGCCAGGCUGUCUCCACCCGAGACUCAGUGAAAUUGAACUCGCUGUGAAGAUGCAGUGUACCCGCGGCAAGACGGAAAGACCCCGUGAACCUUUACUAUAGCUUGACACUGAACAUUGAGCCUUGAUGUGUAGGAUAGGUGGGAGGCUUUGAAGUGUGGACGCCAGUCUGCAUGGAGCCAACCUUGAAAUACCACCCUUUAAUGUUUGAUGUUCUAACUCCGACCCGUGAUCCGGGUUGAGGACAGUGUCUGGUGGGUAGUUUGACUGGGGCGGUCUCCUCCCAAAGAGUAACGGAGGAGCACGAAGGUUAGCUAAUCACGGUCGGACAUCGUGAGGUUAGUGCAAAGGCAUAAGCUAGCUUGACUGCGAGAGUGACGGCUCGAGCAGGUGCGAAAGCAGGUCUUAGUGAUCCGGUGGUUCUGAAUGGAAGGGCCAUCGCUCAACGGAUAAAAGGUACUCCGGGGAUAACAGGCUGAUACCGCCCAAGAGUUCAUAUCGACGGCGGUGUUUGGCACCUCGAUGUCGGCUCAUCACAUCCUGGGGCUGAAGUAGGUCCCAAGGGUAUGGCUGUUCGCCAUUUAAAGUGGUACGCGAGCUGGGUUUAGAACGUCGUGAGACAGUUCGGUCCCUAUCUGCCGUGGGCGUUGGAAGAUUGAGAGGGGCUGCUCCUAGUACGAGAGGACCGGAGUGGACGCACCACUGGUGUUCGGGUUGUCAUGCCAAUGGCAUUGCCCGGUAGCUACGUGCGGAAGAGAUAACCGCUGAAAGCAUCUAAGCGGGAAACUUGCCUCGAGAUGAGUCUUCCCUGAGGCCUUGAGCCUCCUGAAGGGACGUUAAAGACGAUGACGUUGAUAGGUCGGGUGUGUAAGCGCUGCGAGGCGUUGAGCUAACCGAUACUAAUGACCCGUGAGACUUAACCUU